UACGAAGGGGGCAAGCGUUGUUCGGAAUUACUGGGCGUAAAGGGUGUGUAGGCGGUUAUGUAAGAUAGCGGUGAAAUGCCGGGGCUCAACCUCGGAAUUGCCUUUAUGACUAUAUAACUAGAAUAAUGGAGAGGAUAUCGGAAUACCCAGUGUAGAGGUGAAAUUCGUAGAUAUUGGGUAGAACACCAGUGGCGAAGGCGGGUAUCUGGCCAUUUAUUGACGCUGAGGCACGAAAGCAUGGGGAUCAA
rnacentral:rRNA from 1 species